GGCCCUACGGGAGGCAGCAGUGAGGAAUAUUGGUCAAUGGUCGGGAGACUGAACCAGCCAAGCCGCGUGAGGGAGGAAGGUACAGAGUAUCGUAAACCUCCUUUGUCAGGGAACAAAGGCGGGGACGUGUCCCCGGAUGAGUGUACCUGAAGAAAAAGCAUCGGCUAACUCCGUGCCAGCAGCCGCGGUAAUACGGAGGAUGCGAGCGUUAUCCGGAUUUAUUGGGGUUAAAGGGUGCGCAGGCGGUCGGUUAAGUCAGCGGUCAAAGCGCGGGGCUCAACCCCGGCCCGGCGGGGAAACU
rnacentral:rRNA from 1 species